rnacentral:rRNA from 1 species
UGCCAGCCGCCGCGGUAAUACGAGUGCCCCAAGCGUUACCCGGAUUCACUGGGCGUAAAGGGUUCGUAGGCGGCAUAGUUAGUCGAUUGUUAAAGCACCGGGCUCAACCCGGGACAGGCAAUCGAAACGGCUAAGCUAGAAGGUGUGAGAGGUAAGUGGAACUCAUGGUGUAGAGGUGAAAUUCGUUGAUAUCAUGGGGAACACCAAAAGCGAAGGCAACUUACUGGCACACUCUUGACGCUGAUGAACGAAAGCGUGGGUAGCGAACGGGAUUAGAUA